rnacentral:ncRNA from 1 species
GUUAAUACAUAGGGGUGCCAUAAGGCUGAGAAAUACCCAUUGAACCUGAUUUUGGACAAUGCCAACGAAGGAAAAAUGAUAGAAUUUCAA